rnacentral:rRNA from 1 species
GACGAACGCUGGCGGCGUGCUUAACACAUGCAAGUCGAACGGACAGGUCCUGCUUUUGCGGGGUGCUCGAGUGGCGAACGGGUGAGUAACACGUGAGUAACCUGCCCUUGACUUUGGGAUAACUUCAGGGAACUGGGGCUAAUACCGGAUAGGAGCUCCUGCUGCAUGGUGGGGGUUGGAAAGUUUCGGCGGUUGGGGAUGGACUCGCGGCUUAUCAGCUUGUUGGUGGGGUAGUGGCUUACGAAGGCUUUGACGGGUAGCCGGCCUGAGAGGGUGACCGGCCACAUUGGGACUGAGAUACGGACCAGACUCCUACGGGAGGCAGCAGUGGGGAAUAUUGCACAAUGGGCGGAAGCGUGAUGCAGCAACGCCGCGUGCGGGAUGACGGCCUUCGGGUUGUAAACCGAUUUCGCCUGUGACGAAGCGUGAGUGACGGUAAUGGGUAAAGAAGCACCGGCUAACUACGUG